UGAGGGAUAUUGGUCAAUGGGGGAAACCCUGAACCAGCAACGCCGCGUGAGGGAAGUACGGUUUUCGGAUUGUAAACCUCUGUCCUCUGUGAAGAUAAUGACGGUAGCAGAGGAGGAAGCUCCGGCUAACUACGUGCC
rnacentral:rRNA from 1 species